AUUUGACGUCUAAAUUAUUAUUAGCUAUCAGCUUUAUUAAUCAAUUAAAUCCGACUUGUCUAUAAUCAAAAUCUUACAAUCAAGUAACAAGUAAAGAAAUAUAUAUAUAUAUAUAUGAAAACAGUUCUUCACUUUAGUUAUCAACUCAGAAUGUGUCUGCAUGUAAGUUACAUGUAAAGACUACACUUAUCAAAUAAUCUCGAAGCGUCUUUUCGUGUUGAGUCAAACUAAGCCACAGAUUCCACUCUUUGUAGUGGUUCCUUUCUGUUAAUUUAUUUAAAAGUAAUUAUGAAAUAGUCUUGAAGCGUCUUCUCGUGUUGAGUCAAACUUAGUUACAGAUGUUCUAAUAAAGGUGAAUUGUUGUUUGAUGUUUCAAACAAAAAUUGCACCUUCAUUAGAACCUUGUAAAAAAUUUUUCUCUUAAAUCAGUUUCAUCUAUUCUUGGAAAACUACUUGCAAAACGUUAAAGGAAGGAUUUUUUUAAUCUUAACAUUUGAUGUCUAUGUUAUUAUUAGCUAUCAGCUUUAUUAUAUCAAUUAAAUCCGACUUGGUGAAAUUGUUUAUAAUCAAAUUCUUAUAAUCAAGUAACAUAUAAAUAGCACUGCUCCUCAUAUUAGUAUCACAUUUAAAAAGAAAUAUUUAUAUGAAAACAGUUCUUCACUUUAGUUAUUAACUCAGAAUGUGCCUGCAUGUAAGUUACACUUAUGUUACUUAUUUAUUUGACCUCUCUAAAGAAAAGUUACUUCAUUUAAAUUAUAUGUUAAACAUAUUUUGGCUUUCAUUAAAUACUUUGAUGUGUAAAAGUACCAUAACAGGUCUGGGUUCAUUAGUUAUUUGAAUUUUUAAAAAUAAAAAAAUGAUAUGUUAAGAAACAAAGCCUAAUAAAAUUAAUUGAUUUUCCAUAUAGUUAAACUAUGACCUUACUUUUUCAUAUUACUAUCUUAGCAUCACUUUUUAUUAUUUAAUUGUUGUUUUAAUAUAAUGUUAGAUUUUAUCAAUUGCAGCUUUUAUUAUAUGCUUAAAAAACGUAAGUAAUAUGCUUUAAAAUCAAUUUAUCAGUAUCUUUAAAUUAAUGUGAUUACUUUUUUUUUUGUUGUUGCUACAAAUGUAUUUAAAUAUGGAUGUCAGCCGUGAUCACUGAUAUUUCAAAACAUGGGCAAUGAUCUCUUCUUUUCCCUUUUUUUUUGAAUUAAAAUAGUUUGUCUAAAUGAUGCCAGCAUAUUUUCACCUAACAUAGCUGGGAGGAAUCAUCAUUUUACUGUGGGAAUUGCAAACUGCGAGAAGAAAAGAAAAAAGUGCGAGGACUACCAUUUGGCGUUCUAAAAGUAAAUUAAUGAAAACUAGCUUGAAUCCAAAACCUAAUGAAUUCAAAAAAUAAAAUGACUUAAUAGUAAAAUUAGUUUUAAUAAUUGUGAUCUUAGAAUGCAACCUUUGUAUAUUUGAAGGAAAAGCGAAGCAAUCGGGCAAUUGUUUCAGUUAUGUG